ensembl:lncRNA novel transcript, antisense to LRRC1
AGAGGCAAAGAAUCUGCAUUUCCAUACCGUCUCAUUGUCUUCUUCAUCUUUCUCAUCCUCCACAAAUCGGAUCGCACUGACUCUGUUGACAGCACGCUCGUUCCAGGCUUCAUCAGAGACAUCAUUUACCAAGUUCUCCAGUGCACCACAGCGAGGCAGAUUCUCUGCAGUGACAAAGACCACAUAAGCAGGGAAUUGCGUUUCAUGUGAUCAGUAAAUGCUAUGAACUUUGCGGCUGACAAGGUUUCAAUGUAAAGAGAGAAAGUCAAGGUGAUUUUGGAAGGACCCAGAAGGAGGAGUUCUUUACCUCUGAUGGCCACAGCCUCACUGACAGGGCUGGUGUGAAGCUGCAGGAUUACCUGUUUCCAGGAGCACCUGAUGAAUCAGGCCAAGAGGAAGGAGGUGCCUGCGGUGUCAAAGCAUUUAAGUUGCAGCCAAAAUAAAGAUUAAACACCA